CCUACGGGUGGCAGCAGUGAGGAAUAGUGGUCAAUGGGCGAGAGCCUGAACCAGCCAAGUCGCGUGAAGGAUGACGGCCCUACGGGUUGUAAACUUCUGUUGUCAGGGAGCAAUUGAGUCCACGUGUGGGCUUAGCGAGAGUACCUGAAGAAAAAGCAGCGGCCAACUCCGUGCCAGCAGCCGCGGUAAUACGGAGGAUGCGAGCGUUAUCCGGAUUUAUUGGGUUUACAGGGUGCGUAGGCGGAAUAUCAAGUCAGCGGUAAAAAUUCGGGGCUCAACCCCGUCGUGCCGUUGAAACUGCUGUUCUUGAGUGGGCGCGACGUAUGCUGACUGCGUGUUGUAGCGGUGCACUGCAUAGAUCUCACGCAGAACUCCGAUUGCGACGGCAGCAUACCGGCGCCCAACUGACGCUGACGCACGAACGCGUGGGUAUCGAACAGGAUUAGAUACCCUGGUAGUC
rnacentral:rRNA from 1 species